rnacentral:rRNA from 1 species
AACGAACGCUGGCGGCAUGCCUAACACAUGCAAGUCGAACGAGACCUUCCGGUCUAGUGGCGCACCGGUGCGUAACGCGUUGAAACCUGCCCUUAGGUUCGGAAUAACUCCCCGAAAGGGGUGCUAAUACCGGAUAAUGUCUUCGGACCAAAGAUUGUUCGCCUUUGGAUGGGCCCGCGUUGGAUUAGCGGGUUGGUAGGGUAAAAGCAUACCAAGGCGACGAUCCAUAGCUGGGCUGAGAGGAUGAUCAGCCACACUGGGACUGAGACACGGCCCAGACUCCUACGGGAGGGAGCAGUAGGGAAUAUUGGACGAUGGGCGAAAGCCUGAUGAAGCAAUGCCGCGUGAGUGAUGAAGGCCUUAGGGUUGUAAAGCUCUUUUAGCCGGGAUGAUAAUGACAGUACCGGGAGAAUAAGCGCCGGCUAACUACGUG